rnacentral:lncRNA from 1 species
AUGAAGGAGCAUAAUGAUGUUGGCCAACAGGCACCAACAUGGUACAAGUCAGUGGAGCUUGAUUCACUUUGGGAUCAAUCAUUUCACUGCAGCCAUGAAUUUCUUUUUAAGGUAUGUGGUCAGAGUAAUACAUUCUUUAAAAUUUGCUUUUUAUCUAAGACUAAUUGCAGUCUUCAGUUAAAAAAGAAAAAUAAAAAGCAAAAGCAAUACAUUUUUCUAGUUAGACUGCUGUGUGAACUAUAAACGUUAAAGAUUGAAUGAAUUUAGAGCUUGGCUAGUUCACUAUUCUUUCUUUCGCAGAUGAGGAUUCCUACUUACAGCGAGGUGGCCUGCCUUUCAUCAGAGCUCCUUGGGGGCGUGGUUGGAGGGAGAGCUGAGGCCUUUGUAGCCUUGGGCAGUUUCUUGGCUAAUAUUCUGUGAAGAUGAAUUUGUUCUCAUUAUUUUAUUUAUUUUAAGCCCUUAUGUAUUGGUAGGUCUCAUGCAAGCAAGUGCUUUAUCACAACAAUUUUAUUUCUCAUCUAUUUCUAAAAAUAUACAUGGCCAACUUUAUAAAUGUUUUCAUUCUCUGUGUUAGGUAAGAUUCUCUUUAAAAUCAUAAAUUAAAAACAGAUUAUUUCCAAAACAAUGUCUUUUAAGUAGCAAAAUUGAGAAAAAAGAAGAUUUUGUAGUCAUCUAAGAGCAGGCAGCGUUCCUCUGUGAUCACAACAAAUGAGGAACUAGGCAUGCUGAUCAGGCCCUCUUCUAAACGCCACUUGAAAUUUUUUAAAUGACUUUGGGUAAGUCCCUUAAGCUAUUAGCACUUAUAUUUCUUUAUUGCACAAAGGUGAUAAUAGCUGUCCUCUGGCUGUUAACCUUUAACCAAUAUAUUGUGCCCACACUGAUUCCUCUUUUAUUAAAAUAUUAAGUUCCUCCAUGUGCUUGUGUUCAUGACUGGGCUGAAUAUUUUUUAAUAUCCUCUCACUAGGGCUGUAGGAAGAAGACUGAAAAAUAGAUGAAAAUUAAUUCUCAAAUUGGAAUUUUGGCUAUUGGAUCAUUUGAUUAAAGGCAGUUAGCUGAUGGCAGAGGUUACUCUAGAGUGAAAUGCUGUAUCAUUUGAGUCAGUGGCUUUCAAAUUUGGCCCCUGACCUGAAGCACCAUCACCUGGAAACUUGUCAGCAAUCCAAUUUUUGGGUCCCGCCCCACACGUCCUUGAGAGGCUUGGGUUGAGGCCCAGCUAUCUGUGUUUUAACAAGCUUUACAUAUAAUUUUGAUGCAUGCUAAAGUUUGAGAACCACUGGUCUAAACCAAAAGAAAAAAUUAAGAUAAACUCAUGGAAGUCAAACCAUUUCAGACUUGGCCACAGAAUUUAUGCUGUGUUGCAUGUAUACUUUUUGAUGUUCACUCAAGGGACAAGAAACUUUGUGUUAAGCCCAUAUGGAUUACUUAUCCUAACGUUAGUGUAUCACUGAAAAUGUUGAGAGAAGACAGGGAAAUCUUGAUGUUUUGAUAGCCAAGCAUUAAAGUAUUGAAAAAAGCAGAAGGGGAUCGUUAAGGAAAAUAUGGCUGCUGCCGAGAUGUUGGUAUCCGAACUCUAGAAAUGAGUUCUGAGUACAAAUAAAAGCUAAGAAAUGGUACA